rnacentral:lncRNA from 1 species
GGGUGGGGGGCGUAGCCCCCCGCCGAUUUUUUUCUCUCAGUCAAUGGCUAAAAAUGACCCGUUUUCCUUACUUUAAGAAACAUCAGUAUUACUUGAACCUGGAAGCAAUUUUUAUGCAAAAACAAGCUGAGAUUACUGUUCGGGGUGAGCCAAGGCUCCGUCAUGAAGGCUGUACUUUGACCUAUAAUUAUUAACAUUAAAUACAUUUUGACCGCAGACUUUUUUCUCAAUAUGGCUAAAAAUGACCUGUUUUCCUUCGAUUUCCUUAACUUUAAGAAACAUCAGUAUUGCUGGAUCCUUGAAGCAAUUUUUAUACAAACAAUUAAUAUCUGUAUUUAAAGAUAUUUUUG